rnacentral:rRNA from 1 species
AUUGAACGCUGGCGGCAGGCUUAACACAUGCAAGUCGAGCGGGGUGAUGGUGCUUGCACUAUCACUUAGCGGCGGACGGGUGAGUAAUGCUUAGGAAUCUGCCUAUUAGUGGGGGACAACAUCUCGAAAGGGAUGCUAAUACCGCAUACGUCCUACGAGAGAAAGCAGGGGAUCACUUGUGACCUUGCGCUAAUAGAUGAGCCUAAGUCGGAUUAGCUAGUUGGUGGGGUAAAGGCCUACCAAGGCGACGAUCUGUAGCGGGUCUGAGAGGAUGAUCCGCCACACUGGGACUGAGACACGGCCCAGACUCCUACGGGAGGCAGCAGUGGGGAAUAUUGGACAAUGGGGGGAACCCUGAUCCAGCCAUGCCGCGUGUGUGAAGAAGGCCUUCGGGUUGUAAAGUACUUUCAGCGGGGAGGAAGGUGUUGUGGUUAAUAACCGCAGCAAUUGACGUUACCCGCAGAAGAAGCACCGGCUAACUCCGUGCCAGCCGCCGCCGUAAGAC